UACGUAGGGGGCAAGCGUUGUCCGGAAUCAUUGGGCGUAAAGCGCGCGUAGGCGGCCCGGUAAGUCCGCUCUGAAAGUCCAGGGCUUAACCCUGGAAAGCGGGUGGAUACUGCCGGGCUUGAAUCCGGAAGAGGAGAGUGGAAUUCCUGGUGUAGCGGUGAAAUGCGCAGAUAUCAGGAAGAACACCCGUGGCUAAGGCGGCUCUCUAGUACGGUACUGACGCUGAGACGCGAAAGCGUGGGGAGCGAACAGG
rnacentral:rRNA from 1 species